rnacentral:sRNA from 1 species
AGCGCGGCUUCCAGGAAGCCAGCUGGCCGUGAUGCUGCCCACUGGUGGUCCCCCGCUCCCGGGGUCCCCGGCUGGCCAAGCAGGAGGGCUCUAACUCCGUGAGGACCCCAGCAUUAUUUCUAUAAUUGUUUGUGAGAAGGACUGAAUCCCAGAGCGUUGCCUUGUUGCUGACCUUUCAGUAUGGGGAGGAUUGGCAUCUCCUGUCUUUUUCCUGCUUCUUGGCAUUUUAGCAUAUCUCCAGUAGGGUGUCCUCGAAUUCUGAAUACCAAUUUACGCCAAAUUAUGGUCAUUAGUGUCCUGGCUGCUGCUGUUUCACUUUUAUAUUUUUCUGUUGUCAUAAUCCGAAAUAAGUAUGGGCGACUAACCAGAGACAAGAAAUUUCAAAGGUACCUGGCACGGGUUACCGACAUUGAAGCUACAGAUACCAAUAACCCCAAUGUGAACUAUGGGAUCGUGGUGGACUGUGGUAGCAGUGGGUCUCGAGUAUUUGUCUACUGCUGGCCAAGGCAUAAUGGCAAUCCACGUGAUCUGUUGGAUAUCAGGCAAAUGAGGGAUAAAAACCGAAAGCCAGUGGUCAUGAAGAUAAAACCGGGCAUUUCAGAAUUUGCUACCUCUCCAGAGAAAGUCAGUGAUUACAUUUCUCCACUUUUGAACUUUGCUGCAGAGCAUGUGCCACGGGCAAAACACAAAGAGACACCUCUCUACAUUCUUUGCACGGCUGGAAUGAGAAUCCUCCCCGAAAGCCAGCAGAAAGCUAUUCUGGAAGACCUUCUGACCGAUAUCCCCGUGCACUUUGACUUUCUGUUUUCUGACUCUCAUGCAGAAGUAAUUUCUGGGAAACAAGAAGGUGUGUAUGCUUGGAUUGGCAUUAAUUUUGUCCUUGGACGAUUUGAGCAUAUUGAAGAUGAUGAUGAGGCCGUUGUGGAAGUUAACAUUCCUGGAAGUGAAAGCAGCGAAGCCAUUGUCCGUAAAAGGACAGCGGGCAUUCUCGACAUGGGUGGCGUGUCGACUCAGAUAGCGUACGAAGUCCCCAAAACUGUAAGCUUUGCGUCCUCACAGCAGGAAGAAGUAGCUAAAAACUUGUUAGCUGAAUUUAACUUGGGAUGUGAUGUUCACCACACUGAGCAUGUGUAUCGAGUCUAUGUGGCCACGUUUCUUGGGUUUGGUGGCAAUGCUGCUCGACAGAGAUAUGAAGACAGAAUAUUUGCCAACACCAUUCAAAAGAACAGGCUCCUGGGUAAACAGACUGGUCUGACUCCUGAUAUGCCUUACUUGGACCCCUGCCUACCCCUAGACAUUAAAGAUGAAAUCCAGCAAAAUGGACAAACCAUAUACCUACGAGGGACUGGAGACUUUGACCUGUGUCGAGAGACUAUCCAGCCUUUCAUGAAUAAAACAAACGAGACCCAGACUUCCCUCAAUGGGGUCUACCAGCCCCCAAUUCACUUCCAGAACAGUGAAUUCUAUGGCUUCUCUGAAUUCUACUACUGCACCGAGGAUGUGUUACGAAUGGGGGGAGACUACAAUGCUGCUAAAUUUACUAAAGCUGCAAAGGAUUAUUGUGCAACAAAGUGGUCCAUUUUGCGGGAACGCUUUGACCGAGGACUGUACGCCUCUCAUGCUGACCUCCACAGGCUUAAGUAUCAGUGCUUCAAAUCGGCCUGGAUGUUUGAGGUGUUUCAUAGGGGCUUUUCGUUUCCUUUCAACUAUAAAAGCUUAAAGACUGCCUUGCAAGUUUACGACAAGGAGGUUCAGUGGACCCUUGGAGCCAUCCUCUACAGGACCCGCUUUCUACCAUUAAGGUAGGGCUGUGAAUUUGGGAAUGAGAAUCAAAAAGAUGCUUUUCUGCAGUUACAGCACCUCCUGGCAGCUGUGGUCUGUGGCUGUUUGGGGCAUUGCUGUUAGAGCCGGCCAUGGCAGCAUUGUGGGGACAAUGACGUUUGCUUUUGGUCUUGCCCGCUCCCCACGAGUGCUUCCUCCCUUCCCACCCUACCAUCCCGUAAUACACAGCACUCCUGUCCUACUG